AGUUUGAUCCUGGCUCAGGAUGAACGCUAGCUACAGGCUUAACACAUGCAAGUCGAGGGGCAGCAUUGGGGUAGCAAUACUUCAGAUGGCGACCGGCGCACGGGUGAGUAACACGUAUCCAACCUGCCGCUUACUCGGGGAUAGCCUUUCGAAAGAAAGAUUAAUACCCGAUGGUAUAAAGAGUUCGCAUGUUCUCUUUAUUAAAGAAUUUCGGUAAGCGAUGGGGAUGCGUUCCAUUAGAUAGUUGGCGGGGUAACGGCCCACCAAGUCUACGAUGGAUAGGGGUUCUGAGAGGAAGGUCCCCCACAUUGGAACUGAGACACGGUCCAAAUCCUACGGGAGGCAGCAGUGAGGAAUAUUGGUCAAUGGGCGAGAGCCUGAACCAGCCAAGUAGCGUGAAGGAUGACUGCCCUAUGGGUUGUAAACUUCUUUUAUAAGGGAAUAAAGUGAGGGACGUGUCCCUUUUUGUAUGUACCUUAUGAAUAAGGAUCGGCUAACUCCGUGCCAGCAGCCGCGGUAAUACGGAGGAUCCAAGCGUUAUCCGGAUUUAUUGGGUUUAAAGGGAGCGUAGGUUGACAUAUAAGUCAGCUGUGAAAGUUUACGGCUCAACCGUGAAAUUGCAGUUGAUACUGUAUGUCUUGAGUGUACAAGAGGUGGGCGGAAUUCGUGGUGUAGCGGUGAAAUGCUUAGAUAUCACGAAGAACUCCAAUUGCGAAGGCAGCUCACUGGGGUACAACUGACACUGAGGCUCGAAAGUGUGGGUAUCAAACAGGAUUAGAUACCCUGGUAGUCCACACAGUAAACGAUGAAUACUCGCUGUUUGCGAUAUACAGUAAGCGGCCAAGCGAAAGCAUUAAGUAUUCCACCUGGGGAGUACGCCGGCAACGGUGAAACUCAAAGGAAUUGACGGGGGCCCGCACAAGCGGAGGAACAUGUGGUUUAAUUCGAUGAUACGCGAGGAACCUUACCCGGGCUUGAAUUGCAGAGGAAUAUAGUUGAAAGAUUAUCGCCGCAAGGUCUCUGUGAAGGUGCUGCAUGGUUGUCGUCAGCUCGUGCCGUGAGGUGUCGGCUUAAGUGCCAUAACGAGCGCAACCCUUAUCAUUAGUUACUAACAGGUCAUGCUGAGGACUCUAGUGAGACUGCCGUCGUAAGAUGUGANGAANGUGGA
rnacentral:rRNA from 1 species